rnacentral:ncRNA from 2 species
AUCAUUAUAGGUGAUGGGGUUCCACCUUUAACCGCGCAAACAGCUGCUGAUGACUCCUACUUCAAC